GUGAUGCCAACCCAAAUGGAAGGGAUGCGUACACAGGCAGAAACCAAAUGUUUGUGCUCCGACUGCUUCGAGACACAUCUCGAGACCGGUCAUGUUGGCAGGCGAUUUGUUUCCGACUUUCUCGCGCCUUUUUACUGUCAGAAGUGAAUCAUCAGUGCACAUAAGUAUUAUUGAGUAUUAUUGUCGAAAUAACUGAAUCAUAUGAUUCUUGGACAGCAACGGAUUACCGAUCUUGGAACGGCAAAGCGGCAAGCAAGUCAAGCAAGUGCCGCAGUGGCUGGUGCUGACGAAAGCGAAGUGUCGUGGUAUCUCUGUUCGGAUCUGAGACAAAGACAAGAAUUGUCGUAACAAUUACCUAGACUUAAAUUGUGACAUUCUUCCUAUCAAAAGUUCGAAUUGCCAGUACAAACAAACAUCAGGAGCGUCGAUUAUUCCACAAAAAUAAACGCGAGUAAACAAAUGUCGGGAGUGCUGAAUUAACAUUGGAACAUUUAUUUAAAAAAUUCUAAGUAAUUCUUCGCGAUAGAUUCACGAUGUUGCAAAGAAGAUACUGUAGACGUGCUUUCCAUCUUUAUAAGUGUGAAAAAUUGGAUUGAAUCGAAACGGGAACGAAGGAUAAGAUUUUCAACUUUAGUGGAACAUGCAAUACGUGGAACGGAAAUACGUGGGAUUGGCAUCUCGAAAGCUUUCGAUCUGGAGCCCGAUAAACAGAAUCGACGGUACCUUGAAAAACCUGCUGCUGCACUGCCUGGGUUAGUCACGCAACCUUUUUUCUUCCGUAUCACUUCACAACCUCUUGUCGCGACUUCUUCUGAUAUGCACGAGAUUGGUCGCGGUAUGGUAUUGGCCCGACCUAACCAGACCAUUUGGCUUUAAAAGUAACUGUAGAAAUAAUUAAGGAAUUCGCAAAAUUAAAAAUCUAUUCUAACCAA